rnacentral:rRNA from 1 species
UAGGGAAUCUUCCACAAUGGACGCAAGUCUGAUGGAGCAACGCCGCGUGAGUGAAGAAGGUUUUCGGACCGUAAAGCUCUGUUGUUGGUGAAGAAGGAUAGAGGUAGUAACUGGCCUUUAUUUGACGGUAAUCAACCAGAAAGUCACGGCUAACUACGUGCCAGCAGCCGCGGUAAUACGUAGGUGGCAAGCGUUGUCCGGAUUUAUUGGGCGUAAAGCGAGCGCAGGCGGAAGAAUAAGUCUGAUGUGAAAGCCCUCGGCUUAACCGAGGAAUUGCAUCGGAAACUGUUUUCUUGAGUGCAGAAGAGGAGAGUAGAACUCCAUGUGUAGCGGUGGAGUGCGUAGAUAUAUGGAAGAAUACCAGUGGCGAAGGCGGCUCUCUGGUCUGCAACUGACGCUGAGGCUCGAAAGCAUGGGUAGCGAACAGGAUUAGAUACCCUGGUAGUCCAUGCCGUAAACGAUGAGUGCUAAGUGUUGGGAGGCUUCCGCCUCUCAGUGCUGCAGCUAACGCAUUAAGCACUCCGCCUGGGGGAGUACGACCGCAAGGUUGAAAC